rnacentral:rRNA from 1 species
CCUACGUGAGUCAGCAGUGAGGAAUAUUGGUCAAUGGCCGAGAGGCUGAACCAGCCAAGUCGCGUGAGGGAAGACGGCCCUACGGGUUGUAAACCUCUUUUGUCGGGGAGCAAAGCGAGUCACGUGUGACUCCUUGAGAGUACCCGACGAAAAAGCAUCGGCUAACUCCGUGCCAGCAGCCGCGGUAAUACGGAGGAUGCGAGCGUUAUCCGGAUUUAUUGGGUUUAAAGGGUGCGCAGGCGGAGGUGCAAGUCAGCGGUCAAAUUGCGGGGCUCAACCCCGUACUGCCGUUGAAACUGCAUCCCUUGAGUGCGCGAGAAGUAUGCGGAAUGCGUGGGGUAGCGGUGAAAUGCAUAGAUAUCACGCAGAACUCCGAUUGCGAAGGCAGCAUACCGGCGCGCAACUGACGCUCAUGCACGAAAGCGUGGGUAUCGAACAGGAUUAGAUACCCUAGUAGUC